rnacentral:rRNA from 1 species
UACGUGAGAAUCUGCCCUUAGGAGAAGAAUAACUACUGGAAACGGUAGCUAAGUCUUCAUAUGCCGAGAGGUGAAAUAGUUUCAACUGCCUAAGGAUGAGCUCACGCCUGAUUAGCUUGUUGGUGAGGUAACGGCUUACCAAGGCCACGAUCAGUAGCUGGUUUGAGAGAACGAUCAGCAACACUGGGACUGAGACACGGCCCAGACUCCUACGGGAGGCAGCAGUGGGGAAUCUUGGACAAUGGGCGCAAGCCCGAUCCAGCCAUGCCGCGUGAGUGAUGAAGGCCUUAGGGUCGUAAA